ACCUUUAAAGUAAACCUUACAUUUAAUUUCGACUUAAAAUUUUGAUUAUAUUAAUAGUCUAAAGGUA
rnacentral:tRNA from 1 species